GACGAACGCUGGCGGCGUGCUUAACGCAUGCAAGUCGAACGGAAAGGCCCUGCUUUUGUGGGGUGCUCGAGUGGCGAACGGGUGAGUAACACGUGUGUAACCUGCCCUUGACUUUGGGAUAUCUUCAGGAAACUGGGGCUAAUACCUGAUAGGUGCUCCUGCUGCAUGGUGGGGGUUGGAAAGUUUCGGCGGUUGGGGAUUGACUCGCGGCUUAUCAGCUUGUUGGUGGGGGAGUGGCUUACCAAGGCUUUGACGGGUAGCCGGCAUGAGAGGGUGAACGGGAAAAUUGGGACUGAGAUACGGCCCAGAAGGCUACGGGAGGCAGGAGGGGGGAAUAUUGCAAAAUGGGAGGAAGCCAGAUGAAGCAACGCCGGGUGGGGGAUGACGGCCUUCGGGUUGUAAACCGCUUUAGCCUGUGACGAAGCGGGAGUGACGGUAAUGGGUAAAGAAGCACCGGCUAACUACGUG
rnacentral:rRNA from 1 species